rnacentral:rRNA from 1 species
CGGCGGACGGGUGAGUAACACGUGGAUAACCUACCUAUAAGACUGGGAUAACUUCGGGAAACCGGAGCUAAUACCGGAUAAUAUAUUGAACCGCAUGGUUCAAUAGUGAAAGACGGUUUUGCUGUCACUUAUAGAUGGAUCCGCGCCGCAUUAGCUAGUUGGUAAGGUAACGGCUUACCAAGGCAACGAUGUGUAGCCGACCUGAGAGGGUGAUCGGCCACACUGGAACUGAGACACGGUCCAG